CAAAGAGUUGAUGUUAUUUUUGAGGAGAGUAGAGGGGUAUCACAAAAUUGACAACAAUCUCUGUAUUACUAUUAUUAUACUUGUGACUAAUUCUUAUGAACGUGAUUCAAGUGCACCUAUUAAAUAAAAGUGAAAAUUUAAAACCCUUUUGCCUAUGACAACAAUAAAGGAACAUUGACUUGCAAGGAGAACAAUGUAAUAAGAAACUUUGUAGAUUCAACUAUCAGUUUGUAAAAGUAGAUAAACAGAUAGCUAUAGACAACAGUUGGAGCAAGCGAAAAUUUUAUAAUAUGAUUCUAACAUAUUACUUUAUGUGAAAAUGCAGGUGAAAAUAAAAAUUUACAUCUAAAAUUAUUCUGUAGCAUUAAAAUGCUGCAUCAGUGUCAUAAUUAAACUGUUCUGAUGCUGCAACUGUUCGUUAAUUUGCGCCAACAUCUCAUUUUGCCUUUCCAACUGACUUUUGAUGGAUGUCAGACGCUUCUCCUCCCUUUCUCGCUGCCAACCCCUCUAUUUCUCUGCAUACUCUCUCUGCUUCUCUUUCUCCUCCAAUGUACGCUCUUUCAACCCAAACUCCUUUUUUUCCAUUCAAUAUCGAUUUUUAUUUUUUCGUUAAAAAAUUCGAAUGUAUCACUUCCAGUUCUCUGUGCCCUCUUCUCCUUUCCCUUUCCAUCGUCACCUGAUUUUCUCUUUGCUGACUCUCCCAUACUCUCCAUCGACAGUCUUCGCAUCUCCAACCCUUUCUCUGCAUCUAAAGCCACCUUAUUAGCUUUCUCUUUUGCUGUAUUUGCUUGCUCUAAGUUGGCUGUCUUGAAAAGUUCAAUCAGCUCAUCCAAGAGUUUGUCAAUAUCAGUAAUACCAGGUGAUAUACCACUGGCCCUUUCUUCCUCUCUAUUUUUUGAUUUCCUCUUCUUGAAGAGAUAUUGGAACCGCUCUCUAGUGGACCUCUGGUUUGUUCCAAACACAGGACAUUCUAUUAAGUUUAAUGUAUCUGCAAUUUUCUUCCAUUUAUCUCCUCUCUCUGCACUGCCAGCCCUCGUCAACCAAAUUUCCGAAUUUAGUACUUCUCGUAGUAAAAGCUCAUCAUGGGCACUUGUCCACUUAAAUCGUUUCCUUAAAAACAAUUUUAAAAACAGGUAAUAAAAUUGUCAGUGUUUACCCUAAAGUUUUCAGGGAAUCUUGUUAAUUUCUCUUGAUGUUAAUUUUAACUGUUGGUGCGGUUGGCCUAUUAAACAAUAUCCUCAGAAAAAAUACACAGUGAUUACUGCAGGCAAAGCUAAAAGAAUUACUUUAGCAAAAUAACAUUAAUCAGGCAAGUUCUUGACUUUCACUACCAAAAUCAGUAGCAUUUCAGUAAAAUCCUGUAGCUUUAAAACUACGGACAUGGAUCUUACAACAUUCAACAGAUUUGCAGGCCUGUUUUCAUCAUGAAAAAAAACUACAAAUUGUUUAAAACAGUAAGAAACUCACAACUUACCCACAAAUUUUUUGGUUUGAUGAUGAGGAAGCCAUUUUCAGUUAAAAAUCCGCAAAAAAUGCAAAGCAAUUCAACAUACAACCCUAUCGUUGUCAGAGAACGAUAGAUCUGAUCUCUAUCGUACUAGAACGAUGACUGAAAACGAUAACGGAAGGGGAAUCUCCUAUGACGUGUGCGCACUAACCAGAUUAGGCUGCCUGUGGUUAUCGAUAUGGUUAUCGUCACCUGUGCAUAAACUGCCUAACGUGAACAAAGAUGUUGGCAUGGAAUCAGAAGAGAGCAGGAGACCUGCAAACAGCAAUACAGGCACACGAUGUUACAAGAAGCCUCCAUCCACAAAAUCCGCAACUGGAUAUGCAGUUUUUUUCGUUUUCUGUUGACUGGUGGUUCAUUUCUUAAUAUUCUGCAUAUUUGACAAAAAGUGGGAGUCCCAAGUCCCUUAAGCCCCUUCUCCUUGAUGCCCGAGGCAGUACAAUAUUCGUGGUAUGAAUCCAUUGACAUGAAAUUUGAAAAAGAAGCUUUCAUUUUAUUUGUACCUGAUUUUAUACCAUUCCAUUGUUAAAAACAGUAAGCCCCACAACGUGAAAAUAGGUGGAGUGCCUGAGAGUUUUUUACGAAAAAGCAUAGCCAUUAUUAUCUAAGCUGUGGUUAUAGUUCUGGCACCAGAUCUUUUUACAUUUUGACUAUUUAUCCUGCAGACAAGAGCAUUCAACUAAAUUUUAGUAUUUGCACAUAAACACGCAUACAUAGGAACAAAGGCAAAGUCCCAUGCAAGAUUUAAAUUGUCCCAAGGCCUCUUAUGUGUGUUCCUGUGAAAAAUUUUUCUCGUGCUUGCAUGGCUAAUAAAUAGACAAAAUGCUUAAAGAUCUGGUACUGGAACAAUUACCAUAACAUUAAGAAUAUUAUAUAUAUAUUCCGUGAACACUUUUAGAAGUGUAACUUUUGUGUAGGCAAAGUAAAAUGGAUCGUGUGGUUGUUUCCUGGGCCUAUUUAUCCAUUGAUAUAGUUUUGUUGAUGCCCUGUUCAUAGGAGCAAAAUUUAAUGUUGACAAUCAUCAACCAAGGCAGAAUAUAUUUAAUUCACCAAAGUCAUGUAUUCUUCAAAAGCAAAACAAUAAGACAAAAAAUCCAGUUGAUGAUCAACUUCAUCCACCAUAGGUUAAUCUCACCCUGAUACGUGGAAACAUGAAAUUUACAUAGCUCUUAUCUUUAUGAAUAAAUCGGUAGAUUGGGGCUAAGCUGCAAUAAAAAAACGGUUUUCUUUGUGUGUUUGAUUACUUAAUUCCUUUAAAACCUUUUAGGCAUGCAUGCUAAUUUUUACAUGCAAAACACAUACUCAAUUAGGACAAUGUUAGAAAUUUUGGCAGAUAAGGCCUGUUGGGCGUGAAGGAUGUGUCUAGGGAACAAAGAAAUAUUGUUAUUUAUAUCCAGGUAUAGUAACAAAAGUCAACAUGAUCCUUUUCUAUGAGAGCUUGAAACGAUUUUUUCAGAUAAUGUUUUUUUAUCAUAUAUGUACAAACACCAUUUUCUUCCAGAAUUAAAGGGGAUGUCAUUGCAUAACAAGAACAAACAUGCACAUUCCAUGUGCAAGAACUGCCAUAAGAAGAACAAGAAACAUACAAAGAAAAAUCAAAGCAGAAUUCUAACAGGAAAGUCAAAAUAGAAGAAGUUCAGGGCAAGGCUAGAGGAAGGUUGAUUCGCCAAAGUAUUCAAAGGAUACAUGCCGAGGUUCCAAGAAAGAAGAACAAUUUCUUUUGGAAAACAAAGAUGUUGGUCAAAAAUGUUCUUCUUUCAUAAGUAUGUUUCCUUUUUUCUUGUCAAUUUAUGCAAAGUAGCUUCUUUGCAAUGCUUAUAUGCAAAAGCACAACACUUGUAAAAUUAGAGUAUUGAUUUACUGUAUGCAUGUAAGGUGGAUUUAUUCAGGCCUGGCCACAAGACUUUAAGCAGAGGAGCAGUCAUCAACCUAGUAAUUUCCAGAUAAAAGUAAAUAAGAAUGUUAUAUAAACAAAGGAAAAUAGAUUUCAAGGAGAGCAAUUUGCUUUUUGAACCAUUUAGGAGAUUAAUCUGUAGCUCCCCUCCAGCAUUUGAGGAAAACCUGGAGGUGAGCAACAGCUAUGGCUCUCCUAAAAUGGCCAGGCAGGUUUAUUAGCUACAUUUAAAGCUAUUCAUCGUUAUGCAGAUAGGAAUAUUUUUUGUAGAAACUUGCUGAAACAGUAAUUAUUUUUGUUGGCAAAGAGUGUCUUAUUUUUUAAUACAUCAAACUGUAAUUGCUUAAUACCAACAGAACUAUACCUUAUUAACAUUCAUCCUUUGUGUUCUAAUCCAGCCAUCAACCUCUGUCUUUUAUUGUAAGACCAGGGUAGUUUAAUCUGCAACUGCAUAUUAUGUUAUAAAUUAAAUUCUUUUUUUUUACUGAAUAAAGCAUCACCUUACUUCAUUUACAUAAGUGAUUUGGAAACUCUGGUUAAAAAUCCAACUUAUUCCUGUGCAGUUUAGGAAACAUUGUUGAAUGUAGAGUAUUCUCCUCACAUUUUCAUCAUAAGACAGUCAAAAGUUUUGAAAUGAAAAGUAUAGCUCUUCAUUCAUAAAAAAAUUUAUUUUGCCUCUAUGCUAGUUUUGCCACAUACACCUGAUUACAGUCAAGAUGAUAUCAGGAGAUUACUAAAUGAGAAGUAUAGUAAGUACAUCCUUCAACGUUUUUUAUCCCAUUGAGACAAGACAUGCAAGGUGAGAAUUUACAUAACACCUUUUAGUAUAUCUUUCAUUUAACAAAUUAGUAAGAAUGGAGUAACAACAGGCACCUUCCAAUCCAAACAUUUUUAAGACGUGGUUAAGCUACAGUUUUUUUUAACAGAGACUGCACCAUCAGAAGUUGAGACCUUGCUUGUAAGAUAAAGCAAAGUGGUUUAUUCCUGAGGACUGAAGAAUAGUGGCACUUUUAAAAAAUGUUUACUUCAAUACAAUAUCAAACAAUCGAAGAAUAAUACAUUCACAUUUGUUGUAAGACUUCUGUUUUGAAUUUCUAAGUGAGUUUAUUCACUGAGUUUAUUGAGAAUUGUGCUGGUGCUAUUUGAUGGUGUUAUUGGGGACUAUUUUGCUUGCUUAAUUUAACAUUUAUUAAUUUCGAUUUUUCUACAGGUAAAUUCACUGGCACCUUGAAACAGGUGGAAUAUGAAAAGUUCAACUCUUCAUUUGUGAUGAAAGACUGGCCAGAAAAUGUUCCCUUUAUGCAGCCUGGAAGGUUCAGCCAGAAAAGAAUUAAGACAGUAAUGGAGGCAAUGUCAGGGAUAGAGUUCGAAAGUUUUCAGGAGAAUAUUGAGAUUAUCCAAGAAGCCGAUGAUUCUUCAACAGAGGUCAAGGGGACUGAUGAAGCGUUUCUUCCAGAUCCAAACGAUGACAUUGAGGCUUCAACGGUUAUUCAUGUACAGUACAUAUGACAGUGGGAAGGCCAAGAAAGUUAAUGCCAAAAAAUUAUUUUUUGUGAGAAAAGAAAGUGUUUUUCCGGUCAUUCCAUCACCGGCAGAUUCGAAAAAUAAAUUUUAUCUGUUUGUUUGUGGUAAAAAAGCCAAAACAAACAACAUUAUAAAGGGAAAGUGGCUUGUAAAAAGUGGCGACAGGGACUUUGUCAAAUCGCGUGACGAGGCAUCUGUGCUUGAAAGCAAUGUUUAUGUUAAAGACGGUCAGAGGCUGGUCCUGCGCGAAGAAGACUUCGAAAUCAACGAAGCAGGUUUUUAUCGUUUAACGAUUGCAACAGCAUGAAUGAUCGAGGCUUUGCAUGAGGACCUGAAAGAACUGUAAUAAAGUGGAGAACUUACUACCUCUUCAAGGAAGAAAGAUUGGUCGUCUUACUUUUCUAUAAUACUUUUUGGUUUCUUUUUUACUAAUCAAAGAAAGUACAUCAAAAUUUAUGUUUUUUUUCAUACUUUGUUUUCUUAGCAGUCACAGGUUUCCUUAAAGUGAAAGAAACUUUAGAGCCAAUAGACAGAAAAGGGAUAUAUCAGAGAUAGUCCAAACAUGAUUUUUCGAAAUACAGCAAAAUUGAGAAAAUGACCAGACCCCUGCUUAAAAAAGGUAUACGAAAAGACCAACAAUUUUUCCACCAGACCGAUCGAAAUUUAGCAGUGGUUUGAGUUUACAGUAAAUUUAUGUGAUCACAAUUGUGAUGUCGCAGAUGGUGAUUUUUUUUGCACGACCUACACAUUUUCAAUUGUCCAUGAAAUCCACAAGAAUAUUGAGCAGUUUGCUGAGAAAGAUACUCACUUAGAAAAUACUCACUUGCACUAAGAAAAUACUCAAUUUUCAGAAAAUCAAAUAAAAUUUGGGUCGAUUAUUUCAUUGCAGUAGCCCUUUAACAGACGCCUAUUUCUCCCUGCCUAUUGUCGAAGAAUACAAAAAAUUACUCUGCUUUGAAUGGAAAAACAAUCAAUACUCUUACCAGUGCUUGUGUUUUGGGUUGUCCCUUUUUAUUUCACAAAAAGAAUGGAUUCCAGGAAAAUCAUUCAGUUGAACAUACGCUUAUUAGUAUGACUGAAGUCGUGAGGUCAACUCUUGACAAUAAAAAAUAUGGCUGUGGUAUAUUUCUUGAUUUACAAAAGCCUUCGAUACUGUUAAUCACAAUAUUUUGCUCUCUAAACUUAAAUGUUAUGGUAUCAGAGGAAAUGCCCUGAGAUGGUUUGAUUCAUAUCUAUCAGAUAGAACCCAAUAUAUUUAAAAUAAUGGAACCAACUCUGAUCGUAUGAAUGUUACUUGUGGUGUAACUCAGGGAUCUGUACUUGGACCUCUUCUCUUUCUAAUUUUCAUUAAUGACUUGCCUAAUGUCUCGAGAAAAUUGAAAUUUUAUCUCUUUGCCGAUGACACCAACAUUUACUAUGAUACAGAAACUCUUGAUAAACUUGUUAAAACAGUUAAUAUUGAGCUUAAAUUCGUAAAAAGAUGGCUUGAUGCCAAUAAGCUAUCAUUGAACAUAGACAAAACUAAUUAUGUUAUCUUCCAUUCUACCUCAUCGUCAAUACCUCCAGACAUUGUAAUUGAAAUAGGAAAAAAACACAUCACCAGAGUCAAAUAUGUUAAGUUUCUAGGUCUUCUGCUUGAUGAAAACCUAAGCUGGAAGUAUCAUCUUGGUGAACUUUCCAAAAACCUGGCAAAAGCGUGUGGCAUUCUCUCCAGAAUUCGAAAUCUUCUUACAUCUGAAUCACUGAUAUGUAUCUAUAAUGCUUUACGCUGGGUACGUUGCAACAAUGGCUGAUAAAAAGAUCAUGUGUCUUAUUUGCAGCAACGCAAUGGGAAGCACAAAGCAUGUGAGUUUAACAGCAAGCUUUCUGAAUCUCAAAGAUAGGGGAAAGCCAACAUCAAGCGUUAUUGUGGUUUGCAAUGAGAGGGAAAGAUGCUUUCAACGAAUGCUAGCAACCACAUGUGGAAGGUAAAAGGCUUUCCAGAUGCAGUCGCUUCGAGUGUUUUGGCAGGUAUCAAUCUACCUAGAGUAUUCAGAGAACUUGGAGGCCAUAUUAGUCCAGAGGGUCAAGGAGAAGCAUUACUACCCGACGAGGGAUUCUACCAGACCAACUUUAUCUAGACCAGAUGCUGUGAAUGAUGUAAGAGGGAAGCUUUCUCGAAGAAUAUUUGCAAGAGACAAGAAAACUGCAGACCCAUCUGCACGCCUCCAGGCAGUCUAAGCUUUAGGAAGCACAUCUGCUCAAACUUCAUUGCAAGCCUUUGGAGAACAGAUGGAAGAGCCAUAGCCAAAAAUAAAAAAAGGACUAUUGCAUCAGUUGGAUGUCAAGAAUGUCUAGAUCAGCCAUUCUUAAACUAUGACCUGCAGCAAAAUUUCAUCCGGCCCGCUGAAUGCUUUUUACCUGGAAAACAUUUUUGCCAACAUUUUCAAAAUUUUAAACUCAAUUUAUCUUUGGUUUUCUUUUCUCCCUUCUGAUAUUUUUUCUCUGUUGUAAACUUCAAAUGCGUUUCAUUUGACAGUUAUUAGUCCAUAGCGUUUCCUUUUUCUAAUCAACAGAUAAAACUAUGGAGCCUAGUUAUGAAAACGCUGUGCAGUCUCUUGAUGUGACUUCAGGUGCUUCAAACCGACCCAACAAGAGACUAACAAAGAUUAACGUCCUAGCCUAAAAAUAGCAUAGAACGAUCUUCUUAGCCUGGUACAAGAAACAUUAAGUUACAAAUCUUUGUGAAAACUAUUUUUUGGGUUCAUGGGAAGGUAGCUAAGAUAGGCAGGCACGAUAUAAAAGGCCUGUCUAUCUCAUCACUAACUUAGCCUGGUAAAAAUGAGAUCUGAGUUUCAUUUUGAGCAGCCUACACAAUGUAUGUAAAAGUUGUUAACCAACUGGCCCCUGAAGAAAAUCUAUAGGUUAUUCUGGCCCAGCAACUAAAAUCUAUUUAUUUAUUUAUCUUAUCUAUUUAUAGAACAAUCAGUGGCUUUAUCCCAGGUUUUGGACAUAGUCCCCUGUUUAUCGGAAAAGCAUCAUUUUCCGCCAAAUCAACAUUGACUUUUGAAUUCAACACCAAAAACUGGUUUAGAAAAAGUUCAUGUACAAGGUAUAGCAUAGUGAAAUGUAGUAUACUACCUGCAGUAUAAUACCUGGUAGAAUAUAACAUCUUAUGACGGCCUGUUGAAAAAGGAUUAAUAAAAUCUUUCAGAACUUAAAGAUUGCCCAAAAGAAGAAAAAAAUAAAAAGGCACAAGAACUUUACAAGAUGCUAAAAGAGAAGGAUAAGAAAAAAACUGGAGACGGAGGCAGAACAUGUCAACUUGACAAACAUGAAAGACAUGUCUUUAGAUGACAUAGAAAAGUCAGUGAACAGCUCAAAGAAGAGGAUUCUAAAAGAAGUUUAUUUUUCGUAUAUCAGUUGAUAAAUUCAAUUCUUUGUUUUCUCAAUAUCAGCUUAUACUUUCAAUAUUUAAAAUUAUAUAAAUGUUGGUGUAUACAAAAGCCCAGACAUACAGAGCCCAGAGUAUACAAAAACUCAAGAAUGCUAAUAAUUACUCUCAUGUUUGAAAUUAACACCUAAACCUCUCUCUCGGGCUUAUUGUUUUUCUGAAAAAAUACACCAUGGCAUCCUUAUUGCCACAAUGAUAUUUUUAAUCCUUGUAUACUUAAAACAUGAACAUGUUUAUAAAGAGCUGGAAAUUUUAUUCAAAGAGAGUAUGGGAAAGCUAAAAACCUUUCAAAAGUGGCUUUUACUGGAAUUGCGGUCUUCACCUGGAAUUCACCUGCACUGUUUUUCUCACUUGCCUACUUACUGCUCUGUUUCAGGGUCUAUAUAAUUAAUGUAUAUGUGUUUAUCAAAGAGAUAGACAUUUGUUUAUCUAAAGUAUUCCACAUACCUUUCUGUCAUAUAUCUUUCAAAGCCUAUCAAUUCCGGGCUUGAGUAUACAUGGAACGUUUUUUUAGUACAUUUGGUGUACUGAAUUUUGAUGGGGAUGAUGUUGAGAAAAAAGCCAAAUUAGAUUUAUCUGAAAGAUAAGUUUAGGUUUCAGAUCGAAAGUAAUAUUUGUGUAAUAUCUUAUUUACAAAAAGUGCCAGUCAUGACUAUUCAUACACCAAUAACUAAAAUUAUUUAUCCUCGUAGAUGCAGUGUAUGGAACAAUUUGGAUGCACUGGCUUCUCAUUAGUGAUGAAACCAAAUGGAAAGAUUUUGUCAGCUUAAACAGCAAAUGGAGAAGAAUUUAUUGUCAAAAAGCGUCAGCUUAGUAGGAGAUUUUCAUAAUAUAGUAGUAUGUAUAUUAUCAUACCCCUAGAGGCCAUCAAGCGCUCGACUCAUAAAAUUCUCUAACUAUUUCCUGACUAUGGGCCCAAAAAUGCAUGGAAACUUUGAAUUGAACACAAAUCAUGAAAACAAUC